GCNUGCGAGUCACGCCGCAGGCGUGGCAUACGGCUCAGUAACACGUAGUCAACAUGCCCAAAGGACGUGGAUAACCUCGGGAAACUGAGGAUAAACCGCGAUAGGCCAAGGUUUCUGGAAUGAGCCAUGGCCGAAAUCUAUAUGGCCUUUGGAUUGGACUGCGGCCGGUCAGGCUGUUGGUGAGGUAAUGGCCCACCAAACCUGUAACCGGUACGGGCUUUGAGAGAAGGAGCCCGGAGAUGGGCACUGAGACAAGGGCCCAGGCCCUAUGGGGCGCAGCAGGCGCGAAACCUCUGCAAUAGGCGAAAGCUUGACAGGGUUACUCUGAGUGAUGCCCGCUAAGGGUAUCUUUUGGCACCUCUAAAAAUGGUGCAGAAUAAGGGGUGGGCAAGUCUGGUGUCAGCCGCCGCGGUAAUACCAGCACCCCGAGUUGUCGGGACGAUUAUUGGGCCUAAAGCAUCCGUAGCCUGUUCUGCAAGUCCUCCGUUAAAUCCACCUGCUCAACGGAUGGGCUGCGGAGGAUACCGCAGAGCUAGGAGGCGGGAGAGGCAAACGGUACUCAGUGGGUAGGGGUAAAAUCCAUUGAUCUACUGAAGACCACCAGUGGCGAAGGCGGUUUGCCAGAACGCGCUCGACGGUGAGGGAUGAAAGCUGGGGGAGCAAACCGGAUUAGAUACCCGGGUAGUCCCAGCUGUAAACGAUGCAGACUCGGUGAUGGGUUGGCUUCGAGCCAACCCAGUGCCGCAGGGAAGCCGUUAAGUCUGCCGCCUGGGGAGUACGGUCGCAAGACUGAAACUUAA
rnacentral:rRNA from 1 species